GAUCUGUUCUCCGUUGACCUGGCGCACGUAGGCCUGCCCCCAGGAUUCACCUGUGGGUCGGCAUAUGUGAGACCUUGGUCCGUACCAUUUGUGGUCUGUGACCUUCUGGGUUCUCUUCAGCGCCAGCAGGGAACCGGGUUUCUCGUGGUGGUCAGUCCCACCCUUUGGGGAAGACUUCUUUUCCCCUUGGGUGGAAUUAUCACCACUUUAAUCCCUCUUUUUUUUCCCUGGACCCAUUUAUGGGCACUUUUUCUAUAUAUAAUUACCUUAUCAUUCAUCCUUUAAAUUAUUACUUUUAUUAUUCACCAUAAUGAUUAAUGUACCAUACUAUUCCAAUAUCUUUUACUAAAUGUGUCCUCAUUUGGCUUCUUUAUGCAUAUGCCUCUGCCUGCCUUUAAAAUACCGUAGAGCAUCCCAUGCUAUUCAUUUUUUAUAUAUUCCUUGGUUGCUAUGACAGUGCUCCCUGUCAGCAACGCCACCCAUGUAUGUAUCUUUCCCUUUUACCGUGUAAUCCACCACACUCUCUGUUUGCUGGGCGUCUCUUUGAGAUGGCAGGCACCUCCCUUUUUUCCUCCCUCUGACCUUCGCUUUGUCUCCCCGCUCUGUCUGGGUGAUCAGCUGUUCUGAGGGGCGUAUCACACGCCGGGAACUAUCUUGCUGACGUCACACGCCGGGAACCUGGCGUGUGAUCAGCUGCUCGGAGGGACGCGUCACACACGGGGAUCCCUCGGCGGCGUCACACGCCGGGAACCACCGCGGUGACGUCACACGCCGGGAACUACCAUGUUCCGAACCCGCCCACGUGCAUGCCUACACGGCGCUUCAUGCACCUGGCACUAACCAGAGGCAGAGGGCGUUGUGUUUUCUCAUGUCCCUCCUCCAUCACUGGACAGUUUUUGUCCCUCCCCUAUUAUCGGACAGCUAUUUAUUCUCACUAGCAGCUAUACCACUACAGCGCUGACUGCCGAUCGUACAACUACACUAUCCCCUUAGUCACGGUAAGACUGCUACCAUUCCCUUGGCUGUCUUGUUCUAGCUCUUAUCAUACCUACUUUGGGCUCUUACCUCUCAGGCUCUGCCCCUUAAUUAUUUUAAUCAUCAUGCUUUCUCCCUAGAUUUGGAUUGUCUAUACCAUUACAUCUUUGAUUUCGUGAACCCUUGGGAUCACCCUUGGCUUACACCUUGUCCCAUUCAUAGGUAUGCAGUAAUCUCUGUUCUCUUAAUACUAGCCACCUUCAUUGGUUUCUUUCAUAAGUCUUCACAACCAUUUAUUUCCCAGUUAUACCUACAUAUUUCUCCUUUAAUUUUCCCAGGAGUUCUACCUAUACUAACAAUUCCUACUGGGAUAGCUCAUGUUUUUCUGCAGGUAUGCCAAUAUCAUGGGUAUUUAAUGCUAAAUAUAUUUACGUGCAGCAUUAUAUAUAUUGUUCCGCACGGUAAUUAACCCAUGAUCUUCAUUUUUUACCAUCCCUUUCUUCUUUUUUUGAUGCCUUUAGAAGCUUUUUCAAUACCUCUAUACUCCAAUUUGGAUCUCCCCGUAUUUGAGUGUUUGUUUAAGCUUCAAACACUAGGACUACACCUGUUGCCCUCUGGCUGCUUUCCUGCUCUACUUUAAGCAUUUAAGUCUCACAGGAGCCUUGUGGCUUUGUUCCACAUCCCCUCCUGUUUGCUCAGGGUUUGUCUUCAGGAGUUCUGGGACACGAUCCUGUGUCCCCUUGGUUGGCUCCCUAUCCACCUUAGGGAUUUGGUGCCUCGGUGCUCUUCGGUCCGGUUUGGUCUACACAAGUGGUGAUGGGUACGUGUUUAAAUGUAACGUGUAGAUUUUAAUUUUUGCCCUCUCUUCUGAUAUAUGCACACAUGUCAACUUGCUUUACGAUACAAUUGUUAAUUUACCUUACCAUAUUUUUUUACUGUAUACAGUAUAAUUGUCGCAUGGACACCGGCCCCUGAAGAAGGGACUGAAGUCUUGAAACGCGUAGGGCCUGAACCUAUCCCUGCGGACAUACGCACCACUCAGUGACGUAAUUUGUUUUUAUAAUAAUGUGUUGCUUAUCAUAAUUUUUGUUUUGUAUUCUUUCAUAAUAAAUUUUACUAUACCUUA